rnacentral:lncRNA from 1 species
AUAAGUCGAACCUUUCACCAUCAACUGGUGGAAGUGUAUAUAAGAAAAGCUUCAUAUUAAAAAUGUUUAAGUUAAUUUUAGAAAUCAAACUGAGAAUAAGUAACAGAAUAAUUAAAAGAGAUAAAAACAGUGAGAUGAAGAGAAUGAGAUACAUAUGAAAGAAAAAAAUAUAAAGAGAUAAGGAAAGAGAGAAAUACAACAUAUAUUUAUACAAGUUUGACCUAACCACUUGCCCUACUCUUGUUCCCAAGUGUUUCCUCUUGAGAGUUUCCACUAUAACCAGAUGUGAGAUUUUUACAAGUUAUAACCACAAACCUCCUUACAACCAAAUAUGAGAUUUUACACUGGAUAAUCUCUAAACCUAACAUGAUAUUUUACAUUGUGCUAGUCUUAGAACCAAACUGAGCUUUUACACCAGGCUGAACUCAGAAAUAAAAAC